rnacentral:rRNA from 1 species
AUAAUGGGUCAGCGACUUAUAUUCUGUAGCAAGGUUAACCGAAUAGGGGAGCCGAAGGGAAACCGAGUCUUAACUGGGCGUUAAGUUGCAGGGUAUAGACCCGAAACCCGGUGAUCUAGCCAUGGGCAGGUUGAAGGUUGGGUAACACUAACUGGAGGACCGAACCGACUAAUGUUGAAAAAUUAGCGGAUGACUUGUGGCUGGGGGUGAAAGGCCAAUCAAACCGGGAGAUAGCUGGUUCUCCCCGAAAGCUAUUUAGGUAGCGCCUCGUGAAUUCAUCUCCGGGGGUAGAGCACUGUUUCGGCAAGGGGGUCAUCCCGACUUACCAACCCGAUGCAAACUGCGAAUACCGGAGAAUGUUAUCACGGGAGACACACGGCGGGUGCUAACGUCCGUCGUGAAGAGGGAAACAACCCAGACCGCCAGCUAAGGUCCCAAAGUCAUGGUUAAGUGGGAAACGAUGUGGGAAGGCCCAGACAGCCAGGAUGUUGGCUUAGAAGCAGCCAUCAUUUAAAGAAAGCGUAAUAGCUCACUGGUCGAGUCGGCCUGCGCGGAAGAUGUAACGGGGCUAAACCAUGCACCGAAGCUGCGGCAGCGACACUAUGUGUUGUUGGGUAGGGGAGCGUUCUGUAAGCCUGUGAAGGUGUACUGUGAGGUAUGCUGGAGGUAUCAGAAGUGCGAAUGCUGACAUAAGUAACGAUAAAGCGGGUGAAAAGCCCGCUCGCCGGAAGACCAAGGGUUCCUGUCCAAC